rnacentral:rRNA from 1 species
UACGUAGGGAGCAAGCGUUGUUCGGAUUUACUGGGCGUAAAGGGCGCGUAGGCGGCAGAUCAAGUCAGCUGUGAAAUCUCCGAGCUUAACUCGGAACUGUCAACUGAUACUGUUUUGCUAGAGUACAGAAGGGGCAAUCGGAAUUCUUGGUGUAGCGGUGAAAUGCGUAGAUAUCAAGAGGAACACCUGAGGUGAAGACGGGUUGCUGGGCUGAUACUGACGCUGAGGCGCGAAAGCUAGGGUAGCAAACGGG